rnacentral:lncRNA from 1 species
AUCAUUGGAGAAACUGCAAAAGGCAUAAUGUAGAGAUGACUGAGGAAAAAAAAGAUUAUCUGUUCUUACAGAUUUUGCAUUGAUAUGUUUGGUUACCAGUGAUGGAGAGGAAGGAAUUCACAGGGAGUUGCCAACAGAGUACAGCAAAGUUUGGGCUCUGAAAGGCACUACUCUGAAUAUCAUCAAACGGUUACCCUGUUGGAGGAGCUGCACCCUCCCACUAUCAAGAAACAAGCAGCCCCAGAUCAUUAGUCUGCCUGAAGGAGCUAAGCAGUGCCAGCAAUGCAGAAUGACAAAAUUAACUCAGAAGUACUGGAAGAUUGUGUCACAGGAAGGAGAGUCGGAAGCACUGCGUCAGCAUCAGUACGUAGGUGCUGUUACAGAGGAGUGAGGUAAGAUAUGGCUGUGUCAUAGCAGAGGAUGAUU